CAGUCGCCACGGGAAUACGUAGGGCGCAAGCGUUAUCCGGAAUUAUUGGGCGUAAAGAGCUCGUAGGCGGUUUGUCGCGUCUGCCGUGAAAGUCCGGGGCUCAACCCCGGAUCUGCGGUGGGUACGGGCAGACUAGAGUGAUGUAGGGGAGACUGGAAUUCCUGGUGUAGCGGUGAAAUGCGCAGGUAUCAGGAGGAACACCGAUGGCGAAGGCAGGUCUCUGGGCAUUAACUGACGCUGAGGAGCGAAAGCAUGGGGAGCGAACAGGAUUAGAUACCCCGGUAGUCCCUGUCUCUUAUAC
rnacentral:rRNA from 1 species